rnacentral:tRNA from 1 species
UCCCCAGUAGCUCAGUCGGCAGAGCAAGUGGCUGUUAACCACUAGGUCCGCGGUUCAAAUCCGUGCUGGGGAGCCA